rnacentral:rRNA from 1 species
UACAGAGGGUGCGAGCGUUGUCCGGAAUCACUGGGCGUAAAGGGCGCGUAGGUGGUGGCUUAAGCGUGCGGUGAAAGCUCGGGGCUCAACUCCGAGUCGGCCGUGCGAACUGGGCUCACUGGAGCAUAGUAGAGGCAGGUGGAAUUCCGGGUGUAGCGGUGGAAUGCGCAGAUAUCAGGAGGAACACCAAUAGCGAAGGCAGCUCGCUGGGACGUUACUGACACUGAGGCGCGAAAGCGUGGGGAGCGAACAGG